AGUUAUGUAUAUCAGCUACCGCUCGUUUACACUAUGGAAGUGAUGUAGCUAUUGAUGAUAUAAAAAUCAAUGGUAGUUUUGGAAAAAUAACCGCACCUCCUCCGACAACAACACAAGAAACAAUCUAUGAUGUUAAUGAAAUAGCCUGUAAUUUUGACAAGAGUUUCUGUCACUGGUAUCAAGAUAAAGACGACCAGUUUGAUUGGAGGAGAACAUCUCUAGGUACUCCUGAUAGAACAUCAGGUCCCUCAGCAGA